ensembl:misc_RNA 7SK 7SK RNA
GAGUGAUGCUCUAGUGUCCUCUCUCUGAUUGCCAGGGCUGAUUCGGCUGAUCUGGCUGGCUAGCCGGGUAUCUCCUUCCUCCCUCACCUCUGUGCGUCCCACCCAAAACUGCACAGAGGACAGAUUUCCCCAAUAAAGAUGGACCCAUUUUCAGUUGAGGGUAUAGGAGUAGCUGCGCUCCCCUGCUAGAACCUCCAAACAAGUUCUCAAGGUCCAAAAAUAAGCAAAAUAUCUAAACAGGGCUUUCAAAGAAUGGAAGAUGUCCAUGACUA